rnacentral:rRNA from 1 species
GAUGAACGCUGACAGAAUGCUUAACACAUGCAAGUCUUUGGCGAAGCUGUGCUUGCACAGCCUAGCCAAGGCGGACGGGUGAGUAACGCGUAAGGAACUUGCCCUGCAGUCAGGGAUAACAGACGGAAACGACUGAUAAGACCUGGUAAAGUCAGGCGGACUCAUGUCCAGCCUGAUGAAAAGAGAUGCUGCAGGAGAGCCUUGCGUCCUAUUAGCUUGUUGGUGGGGUAACGGCCCACCAAGGCGAUGAUAGGUAGCCGGCCUGAGAGGGUGGACGGCCACAAGGGGACUGAGAUACGGCCCUUACUCCUACGGGAGGCAGCAGGGGGGAAUAUUGGACAAUGGGGGCAACCCUGAUCCAGCAAUUCUGUGUGCACGAUGAAGGUUUUCGGAUUGUAAAGUGCUUUCAGCAGGGAAGAAAAAAAUGACGGUACCUGCAGAAGAAGCGACGGCUAAAUACGUG